rnacentral:rRNA from 1 species
CAGGCUUAACACAUGCAAGUCGAGGGGCAGCAUGGUCUUAGCUUGCUAAGGCCGAUGGCGACCGGCGCACGGGUGAGUAACACGUAUCCAACCUGCCGUCUACUCUUGGACAGCCUUCUGAAAGGAAGAUUAAUACAAGAUGGCAUCAUGAGUCCACAUGUUCACAUGAUUAAAGGUAUUCCGGUAGACGAUGGGGAUGCGUUCCAUUAGAUAGUAGGCGGGGUAACGGCCCACCUAGUCUUCGAUGGAUAGGGGUUCUGAGAGGAAGGUCCCCCACAUUGGAACUGAGACACGGUCCAAACUCCUACGGGAGGCAGCAGUGAGGAAUAUUGGUCAAUGGGCGAGAGCCUGAACCAGCCAAGUAGCGUGAAGGAUGACUGCCCUAUGGGUUGUAAACUUCUUUUAUAAAGGAAUAAAGUCGGGUAUGCAUACCCGUUUGCAUGUACUUUAUGAAUAAGGAUCGGCUAACUCCGUGCCAGCAGCCGCGGUAAUACGGAGGAUCCGAGCGUUAUCCGGAUUUAUUGGGUUUAAAGGGAGCGUAGAUGGAUGUUUAAGUCAGUUGUGAAAGUUUGCGGCUCAACCGUAAAAUUGCAGUUGAUACUGGAUAUCUUGAGUGCAGUUGAGGCAGGCGGAAUUCGUGGUGUAGCGGUGAAAUGCUUAGAUAUCACGAAGAACUCCGAUUGCGAAGGCAGCCUGCUAAGCUGCAACUGACAUUGAGGCUCGAAAGUGUGGGUAUCAAACAGGAUUAGAUACCCUGGUAGUCCACACGGUAAACGAUGAAUACUCGCUGUUUGCGAUAUACUGCAAGCGGCCAAGCGAAAGCGUUAAGUAUUCCACCUGGGGAGUACGCCGGCAACGGUGAAACUCAAAGGAAUUGACGGGGGCCCGCACAAGCGGAGGAACAUGUGGUUUAAUUCGAUGAUACGCGAGGAACCUUACCCGGGCUUAAAUUGCAGAUGAAUUACGGUGAAAGCCGUAAGCCGCAAGGCAUCUGUGAAGGUGCUGCAUGGUUGUCGUCAGCUCGUGCCGUGAGGUGUCGGCUUAAGUGCCAUAACGAGCGCAACCCUUGUUGUCAGUUACUAACAGGUUCCGCUGAGGACUCUGACAAGACUGCCAUCGUAAGAUGUGAGGAAGGUGGGGAUGACGUCAAAUCAGCACGGCCCUUACGUCCGGGGCUACACACGUGUUACAAUGGGGGGUACAGAGGGCCGCUACCACGCGAGUGGAUGCCAAUCCCCAAAACCUCUCUCAGUUCGGACUGGAGUCUGCAACCCGACUCCACGAAGCUGGAUUCGCUAGUAAUCGCGCAUCAGCCACGGCGCGGUGAAUACGUUCCCGGGCCUUGUACACACCGCCCGUCAAGCCAUGGGAGCCGGGGGUACCUGAAGUGCGUAACCGCGAGGAGCGCCCUAGGGUAAAACUGGUGACUGGGGCUAAGUCAUAA